AUUGAACGCUGGCGGCAUGCCUUACACAUGCAAGUCGAACGGUAACAGGUCUUCGGAUGCUGACGAGUGGCGAACGGGUGAGUAAUACAUCGGAACGUGCCCGAUCGUGGGGGAUAACGAAGCGAAAGCUUUGCUAAUACCGCAUACGAUCUACGGAUGAAAGCAGGGGACCGCAAGGCCUUGCGCGAACGGAGCGGCCGAUGGCAGAUUAGGUAGUUGGUGGAUAAAAGGCUACCAAGCCGACGAUCUGUAGCUGGUCUGAGAGGACGACCAGCCACACUGGGACUGAGACACAGCCCAGACUCCUACGGGAGGCAGCAGUGGGGAAUUUUGGACAAUGGGCGAAAGCCUGAUCCAGCCAUGCCGCGUGCAGGAUGAAGGCCUUCGGGUUGUAAACUGCUUUUGUACGGAACGAAAAGACUCUGGUUAAUACCUGGGGUCCAUGACGGUACCGUAAGAAUAAGCACCGGCUAACUACGUGCCAGCCGCCGCGGUAA
rnacentral:rRNA from 1 species